rnacentral:rRNA from 1 species
UACGUAGGGGGCAAGCGUUGUCCGGAAUUAUUGGGCGUAAAGAGCUCGUAGGCGGUCUGUCGCGUCGAAUGUGAAAACCCGGGACUCAACUCCGGGCCUGCAUUCGAUACGGGCAGACUAGAGUUCGGUAGGGGAGACUGGAAUUCCUGGUGUAGCGGUGAAAUGCGCAGAUAUCAGGAGGAACACCGGUGGCGAAGGCGGGUCUCUGGGCCGAUACUGACGCUGAGGAGCGAAAGCGUGGGGAGCAAACAGG